CCUACGGGUGGCAGCAGUGAGGAAUAUUGGUCAAUGGACGAGAGUCUGAACCAGCCAAGUAGCGUGAAGGAUGACUGCCCUAUGGGUUGUAAACUUCUUUUAUAUGGAAAUAAAACGUUCCACGUGUGGGAUUUUGUAUGUACCAUAUGAAUAAGGAUCGGCUAACUACGUGCCAGCAGCCGCGGUAAUACGGAGGAUCCGAGCGUUAUCCGGAUUUAUUGGGUUUAAAGGGAGCGUAGGUGGAUUGUUAAGUCAGUUGUGAAAGUUUGCGGCUCAACCGUAAAAUUGCAGUUGAAACUGGCAGUCUUGAGUACAGUAGAGGUGGGCGGAAUUCGUGGUGUAGCGGUGAAAUGCUUAGAUAUCACGAAGAACUCCGAUUGCGAAGGCAGUUCACUGGACUGCAACUGACACUGAGGCUCGAAAGUGUGGGUAUCAAACAGGAUUAGAUACCCUAGUAGUC
rnacentral:rRNA from 1 species